GAAAAAAAGCACAAAGACACAAUGAAAUGAACCUCAGAAAAGACGCCGCAGGAGCUAUUCAGAUCCAGCUCUUCAGCUGCUUCUGUGGCCCCGCCAGUCGGGAAAGCCACCUGCUAAUCUGCUCCCUGCCACGCCCACCCCUGGGCUUUUCCACAGACGUCCUCGCUGAGGUCUCUCCUAAGAAAAGGACCCGUGGUGUCCUUCUUAGAAGGAUGACUCCUGGAGUUUCAACCCUACGCUAAGAGAAGCUGACCAGAGAUUCUAUUACCACCCCUGCCUGCCGCUGCCCUCUUGGUUGCCAGAAGGGGGCACUGAGGAGCAGGGAGACAGCAAGGGGCCCAAUCCCAGCAUCAGGAAGUACCUUGAGAGCAUUCAUCUAAGCCCAGCUAAAAGCCAGCCCCUCCAGGAAGCCUUCCUGACACCUCUACUGCAGCCUCCUACAGCACUUAACCGGAGCCCCUGGAAGACACCACAAGCUGCACUUCCAGCCCACUGUCGUCAGCUCUUUCACGACAAAGACUGUGUCUUACAUCUCCUGGAACACUCCACCCCCAUGAAUGCAGAACAGUGCUGCAAACACAGGUGUCCAAAGGCACACACCCAGGAGUACCGGAGCAAAUGAUACGUGAUUUACUUUUUGAUCCACAUGCCUAAGUAGUGUUCUUAUCCACAUCCUCCAACGAUGGUGUUUGUCAGUGUGACACACAGCAGCACCUUCAGUGCCCUCUGGGCCCAUUUGAAAAGCUACGUUUUCCCAUCUAAAAGCUGCUUUAUAGAGAUCUGAAGGACUUUUAUGGCUGUCCAGUAAUGACAGAACUUUACA